CCUGCGCAAGGUGAUGGCGUUCCACCUUCCCCAACCGCCAGCAGGUUUCCCCUGCGGCUGAUGACGCCUGACACUAU
rnacentral:ncRNA from 2 species